GACGAACGCUGGCGGCGUGCUUAACACAUGCAAGUCGAACGAAGUGGCGAACGGGUUAGUAACGCGUAAUCAACCUGCCCUUCAGAGGGGGACAACAGUUGGAAACGACUGCUAAUACCGCAUACUGAAGGAGGGGAUUGCGUCUGAUUAGCUAGUUGGAGGGGUAAAGGCCCACCAAGGCGAUGAUCAGUAUGCGGUCUGAGGGAAGGAACGGCAAAAUUGGGACUGAGAAACGGCCCCAGCUCCAACGGGAGGCAGCAAGGGGGAAUCUUCCGAAAAGGAAGAAAGUCUUAAGGAGCAACGCGGCGGGAGUGAUGACGGGCUUCGGGGUGUAAAGCUCUGUUAAUCGGGACGCGGUACCGGAAUAGAAAGCCACGGCUAACUCCGUGCCAGCAGCCGCGGUAAUAC
rnacentral:rRNA from 1 species